GAUGAACGCUGGCGGCGUGCCUAAUACAUGCAAGUCGAGCGAACAUUUCAUGAGGUUUCUCUGCUCACGUUAGCGGCGAGCGGUGGAGGACCACUGGGUAAACCGUCCGUUAAGUCUGCGAUAGCUUCGGGAAACCCUUGCUAAUACCUGAUAAUAUAGUGAAACACAUUGUGCAGUAUGGAAAGACGGUUUUGCUCUCACUCGUAUAUGGAUCCGCGCUGCAUUAGCUAGUUGGUAAGGUAACGGCUUACCAAGGCCACGAUGCGUAGCCGACCUGAGAGGGUGAUCGGCCACACUGGAACUGAGACACGGUCCAGACUCCUACGGGAGGCAGCAGUAGGGAAUCUUCCGCAAUGGGCGAAAGCCUGACGGAGCAACGCCGCGUGAGUGAUGAAGGUUUUCGGAUCGUAAAACUCUGUUAUUAGGGAAGAACAAAUGUGUAAGUAACUAUGCACGUCUUGACGGUACCUAAUCAGAAAGCCACGGCUAACUACGUG
rnacentral:rRNA from 1 species